UCUUGGCAUUGAUCUCUAGAGAUUGGUGUUAAGGCCACACGCUCUUUUGUCGGGACUUUCCUUUUGAGAAGUUAUGAAAUGCAGUUGUGACCUUGAGUAAGACUUUAUUGUCUGAAAAUCGAAAUAACAGUGAAGAUUAGACAAAAAAGCUAUAAGAU
rnacentral:ncRNA from 1 species